GGGCGCAGCCUGAUGCAGCGACACCGCGUGAGGGAUGACGGCCUUCGGGUUGUAAACCUCUUUCAGCAGGGAAGAAGCGCAAGUGACGGUACCUGCAGAAGAAGCGCCGGCUAACUACGUGCCAACAGCCGCGGUAAUACGUAGGGCGCAAGCGUUGUCCGGAAUUAUUGGGCGUAAAGAGCUCGUAGGCGGUUUGUCGCGUCUGCUGUGAAAACCUAAGGCUCAACCUUGGGCUUGCAGUGGGUACGGGCAGACUAGAGUGCGGUAGGGGUGACUGGAAUUCCUGGUGUAGCGGUGGAAUGCGCAGAUAUCAGGAGGAACACCGAUGGCGAAGGCAGGUCACUGGGCCGCAACUGACGCUGAGGAGCGAAAGCAUGGGGAGCGAACAGGAUUAGAUACCCUGGUAGUCCAUGCCGUAAACGUUGGGCACUAGGUGUGGGGCUCAUUCCACGAGUUCCGUGCCGCAGCAAACGCAUUAAGUGCCCCGCCUGGGGAGUACGGCCGCAAGGCUAAAACUCAAAGAAAUUGACGGGGGCCCGCACAAGCGGCGGAGCAUGCGGAUUA
rnacentral:rRNA from 1 species